rnacentral:rRNA from 1 species
AAUCAACGCUGGCGGCGUGCCUCAGACAUGCAAGUCGAACGAUUAAAGCUCCCUUCGGGGAGUGCAUAUAGUGGCGCACGGGUGAGUAACACGUAAGUAAUCAACCUCUGAGUGGGGAAUAACAACCGGAAACGGUUGCUAAUACCGCAUAACGCAGCGGCACCGCAAGGUGACAGUUGUUAAAGAUUUAUCGCUUGGAGAGGAGCUUGCGGCAGAUUAGCUAGUUGGUAAGGUAAUGGCUUACCAAGGCUACGAUCUGUAGCCGGUCUAAGAGGACGGUCGGUCACACUGACACUGAAUAACGGGUCAGACUCCUACGGGAGGCAGCAGUCGGGAAUUUUGGGCAAUGGGGGAAACCCUGACCCAGCAACGCCGCGUGAAGGAUGAAGUAUUUCGGUAUGCAAACUUCGAAAGAAUAGGAAGAAUUAAUGACGGUACUAUUUAUAAGGUCCGGCUAACUACGUGCCAGCAGCCGCGGUAAUACGUAGGGACCAAGCGUUGUUCGGAUUUACUGGGCGGUAAA